rnacentral:misc_RNA from 1 species
CUACACACAAGAUAAUACAAAGCAAUCAGAUUAAAAAGAGACAAAAAACGAUCACAAAAACAAAGGAAAUCACCAAUUGCAUGCGUUCUUCAAGUAACAAACAACAAGGAAUAGCAAACAGGCCCAGAUUCAACAAACUAAAAAAAUUUCCAACUAAUAAACCAACGAACAAUUGAUGCCCAUCUCACAAAUACAGACAAUCAAGACCCAGAUGACAGAACAACACAGAAAGAAGCAAAACAUAGAGUACAGUUCCUGUAGAAGGAAAACAAAAUUUACCUUUAGAGUUCCUGAGAG